rnacentral:rRNA from 1 species
UUAAGCGACUAAGCGUACACGGUGGAUGCCCUGGCAGUCAGAGGCGAUGAAGGACGUGCUAAUCUGCGAUAAGCGUCGGUAAGGUGAUAUGAACCGUUAUAACCGGCGAUUUCCGAAUGGGGAAACCCAGUGUGUUUCGACACACUAUCAUUAACUGAAUCCAUAGGUUAAUGAGGCGAACCGGGGGAACUGAAACAUCUAAGUACCCCGAGGAAAAGAAAUCAACCGAGAUUCCCCCAGUAGCGGCGAGCGAACGGGGAGCAGCCCAGAGCCUGAAUCAGUAUGUGUGUUAGUGGAAGCGUCUGGAAAGGCGCGCGAUACAGGGUGACAGCCCCGUACACAAAAAUGCACAUAUUGUGAGCUCGAUGAGUAGGGCGGGACACGUGGUAUCCUGUCUGAAUAUGGGGGGACCAUCCUCCAAGGCUAAAUACUCCUGACUGACCGAUAGUGAACCAGUACCGUGAGGGAAAGGCGAAAAGAACCCCGGCGAGGGGAGUGAAAAAGAACCUGAAACCGUGUACGUACAAGCAGUGGGAGCACGCUUAGGCGUGUGACUGCGUACCUUUUGUAUAAUGGGUCAGCGACUUAUAUUCUGUAGCAAGGUUAACCGAAUAGGGGAGCCGAAGGGAAACCGAGUCUUAACUGGGCGUUAAGUUGCAGGGUAUAGACCCGAAACCCGGUGAUCUAGCCAUGGGCAGGUUGAAGGUUGGGUAACACUAACUGGAGGACCGAACCGACUAAUGUUGAAAAAUUAGCGGAUGACUUGUGGCUGGGGGUGAAAGGCCAAUCAAACCGGGAGAUAGCUGGUUCUCCCCGAAAGCUAUUUAGGUAGCGCCUCGUGAAUUCAUCUCCGGGGGUAGAGCACUGUUUCGGCAAGGGGGUCAUCCCGACUUACCAACCCGAUGCAAACUGCGAAUACCGGAGAAUGUUAUCACGGGAGACACACGGCGGGUGCUAACGUCCGUCGUGAAGAGGGAAACAACCCAGACCGCCAGCUAAGGUCCCAAAGUCAUGGUUAAGUGGGAAACGAUGUGGGAAGGCCCAGACAGCCAGGAUGUUGGCUUAGAAGCAGCCAUCAUUUAAAGAAAGCGUAAUAGCUCACUGGUCGAGUCGGCCUGCGCGGAAGAUGUAACGGGGCUAAACCAUGCACCGAAGCUGCGGCAGCGACACUAUGUGUUGUUGGGUAGGGGAGCGUUCUGUAAGCCUGUGAAGGUGUGCUGUGAGGCAUGCUGGAGGUAUCAGAAGUGCGAAUGCUGACAUAAGUAACGAUAAAGCGGGUGAAAAGCCCGCUCGCCGGAAGACCAAGGGUUCCUGUCCAACGUUAAUCGGGGCAGGGUGAGUCGACCCCUAAGGCGAGGCCGAAAGGCGUAGUCGAUGGGAAACAGGUUAAUAUUCCUGUACUUGGUGUUACUGCGAAGGGGGGACGGAGAAGGCUAUGUUGGCCGGGCGACGGUUGUCCCGGUUUAAGCGUGUAGGCUGGUUUUCCAGGCAAAUCCGGAAAAUCAAGGCUGAGGCGUGAUGACGAGGCACUACGGUGCUGAAGCAACAAAUGCCCUGCUUCCAGGAAAAGCCUCUAAGCAUCAGGUAACAUCAAAUCGUACCCCAAACCGACACAGGUGGUCAGGUAGAGAAUACCAAGGCGCUUGAGAGAACUCGGGUGAAGGAACUAGGCAAAAUGGUGCCGUAACUUCGGGAGAAGGCACGCUGAUAUGUAGGUGAAGUCCCUCGCGGAUGGAGCUGAAAUCAGUCGAAGAUACCAGCUGGCUGCAACUGUUUAUUAAAAACACAGCACUGUGCAAACACGAAAGUGGACGUAUACGGUGUGACGCCUGCCCGGUGCCGGAAGGUUAAUUGAUGGGGUUAGCCGCAAGGCGAAGCUCUUGAUCGAAGCCCCGGUAAACGGCGGCCGUAACUAUAACGGUCCUAAGGUAGCGAAAUUCCUUGUCGGGUAAGUUCCGACCUGCACGAAUGGCGUAAUGAUGGCCAGGCUGUCUCCACCCGAGACUCAGUGAAAUUGAACUCGCUGUGAAGAUGCAGUGUACCCGCGGCAAGACGGAAAGACCCCGUGAACCUUUACUAUAGCUUGACACUGAACAUUGAGCCUUGAUGUGUAGGAUAGGUGGGAGGCUUAGAAGUGUGGACGCCAGUCUGCAUGGAGCCGACCUUGAAAUACCACCCUUUAAUGUUUGAUGUUCUAACGUUGACCCGUAAUCCGGGUUGCGGACAGUGUCUGGUGGGUAGUUUGACUGGGGCGGUCUCCUCCUAAAGAGUAACGGAGGAGCACGAAGGUUGGCUAAUCCUGGUCGGACAUCAGGAGGUUAGUGCAAUGGCAUAAGCCAGCUUGACUGCGAGCGUGACGGCGCGAGCAGGUGCGAAAGCAGGUCAUAGUGAUCCGGUGGUUCUGAAUGGAAGGGCCAUCGCUCAACGGAUAAAAGGUACUCCGGGGAUAACAGGCUGAUACCGCCCAAGAGUUCAUAUCGACGGCGGUGUUUGGCACCUCGAUGUCGGCUCAUCACAUCCUGGGGCUGAAGUAGGUCCCAAGGGUAUGGCUGUUCGCCAUUUAAAGUGGUACGCGAGCUGGGUUUAGAACGUCGUGAGACAGUUCGGUCCCUAUCUGCCGUGGGCGCUGGAGAACUGAGGGGGGCUGCUCCUAGUACGAGAGGACCGGAG